UACAGAGGGGGCAAGCGUUAUUCGGAAUUAUUGGGCGUAAAGGGCGCGUAGGCGGCCUGGCAAGUGGAAGGUGAAAUCCCUCGGCUUAACCGAGGAACUGCCCUCCAAACUGCUUGGCUUGAGUCCGGGAGAGGUGAGUGGAAUUCCCAGUGUAGCGGUGAAAUGCGUAGAUAUCAGGAGGAAUACCGGUGGUGUAGACGGCUCUCUGGACCGCAACUGACGCUGAGACACGAAAGCGUGGGUAGCAAACAGG
rnacentral:rRNA from 1 species